GCUGGAAAUCCAUGCUUACUGGGGGCUUUUCAAAGGAUUUUAGCUUUUCCUGUACAAAGAAGAUGCAAAGGAUUACAUGAAUAUAUCUGUGAAGACCGUUUGGUUACUGAGAAGGGGAAAAAUGGAUGUGUAGUACCUAAACAAAAGGAGGGCCAUAUGUCAGCUAUAGUAAUCAGGUCCUCCUUUUGCAAGGGCAAAUGGUAGAAAAGAUUGUUGAGCCUCCCUAUCUGUGCAGAAAAUGGUUAGCACAUCCAGAGGUGGUUUUUGAAGAGCAAGGAAGAUUGAGUAUCCCAGCAAAAACAAAUUGACGUGUUAGUUAUUUGGGAAGGGGGUUAUAACUGGUGAGUGGGCCUCCCCGUGGAGGUGAGACCUCAUGCAGUGUGUCUGGUCCAGGCAUGCAGACCAGAGCCUCAAUGGUCCCUGCUCUGCUCCUCCCCAACAGCAGAAACCAGAGCAAAAGGACUUACAGAUAGUAACAGGGUAUCUAAACUCUACUUAACUCUGUGCCAUGAUGAGCUUGUGUUUGGAAAGGUUGUGGAAGUGUGUGCUGUGCAGCCCUUGGAUGAAGCCACACUUAUGACUUGAAUUCAGGGGACUGUGGGCUGAAGGAGAGGUUAUGAAGCUGGAGAGACCAGGACUGCUUCACCAGUCCCAAGUGCCUCAAUGACCGUCAGACCUGGGUCUUGCAGAUGUGGCAGAAACCAAGCGAAGAGAACUGUAGAAGCUUUUCUGGGACAAAGCAAACCACCUGGAUCCUACCAAUUCAUUAAAUGGCCUUUAGGUGAUUAGGAAGAAGAAUAACAACUGGACCCUACCUUACUGUGAUAGUUCAGGUUCUGAAGGCUUGUGUUCUGAGAUGAAUUUUCUCACUUUAUUUCCCCAGAAGAGAUGAUGUUGUCGGGCACGUCAUAAGUGCUACAGAGCAGAUCUUCAGUUGUGGAACUUUUUAAACAGAUGCUGCAGAUUUUGCCUGGCCAAAUCAAUCCAAAGUCUGUUUUUUUUUCCUUUUGAUAUCAUGUUUUCCAGAUCAAUGUGUAAAACUCUACACUGGACAACACUGUUUUUUGUCUAUAGUACAUGUCUUUUCCACAGCCUGUAACUUGUCUGAAAGAAAAACAAAACCACCUGCAAGCUUACAGAUGAUUUGUCUCACUAGGCUAUAUGCUCUUAUCCAAAGGCCGCCUUGAUGGCUAGGAUUAGGCUGUCCUUUAACAGUUGUAUCUACAUUUCUGUUCUUCGGAUAUUAUCUUCCUGUUAAAACUGUACAGCUGGUCAUGUGUUUUGCAUUUUCUGCAAUGUAAAAACUGUGUAAGUAUGCAUACAUUCACCUUCACCUGAACAGUUCCAGGUACUGCCUGCAACUUGUGCUAGGACUGGUUGCACAGGGCAGCGUUCUUCAAAAUUGAAGCAUCUAGAAAGCCCAGAAGUUAAAGGCCUAGAAAGCAUCUGAACCUGUGUUUGGGAAUUGAUGGCCAACUUCCUUUUUGGAAGGAUGUAAAGCCAAUGCUACUGCCACCGAAACUUGUACCAGGUUUGAGUUCUCAGCUCUAAGAGGGACAAAUGUCUACUUUUAUUUCCUCCUUAGUCCUUCACAGUUCAUUUUCUAGCCCCAAAAAGCCUUGAAAGGAAACUGUCCAACAUGGAAAAUAGUGAAUGUUGGACCCAAAGCACGUUGAAAUCUGUGAAAGUCACUGUGAUGGGCUUUGGAUCAGAUCCUGAGUAAACCCAUUCUUGGAUUGCCACCUCUGGUCAUAAUGGCCCUUUGUUCUGCCUUUUAAUGACUAAUUAUUGUUAUAAAAAGCCUUAUGUAAUUUCUGGCAUGGUUAGACAUCAUAUAUGAGAGGUGCAUAAUCUUAGAAAUGCUCUAGCUAGUUUCUUGGGUUGUGUAACAAAUAAUUAUGGAAUCUCACUGAGCUUUGCUUUAUUAUUAUACAGCUCUGGGCUCUUUCCUCCACUAACUUUACAUGCUUGUUAAUAUUUAAGCUAUCUUGUAGCUUGGGUAAGUCGUAAUGACUUUUUUGUUACUGAGCUAAUAUUAAACAAAAGAAGCUGUUGGGGGAAAGGGGAAAAGAUAUGAUGGAUGUUAUGUUCUCCUGAAGGUGCUUUUCCUUGCUUUAAUAGCUUUUGGCCGAUUUACAAAUAUGAAAUAGGAAUCUCUUCCAAAGCCUUCCUUCAGUGCCUCUCCAGAUAAUCAGAAAGAUAGAGUCCUCUUUACAGCAGAUUGGGUAAUGGUGGACAUGCCCUGAAAAAUAAACUUGUUUUAAAUGUAGAUGACACUUCAAGAUUUUUUUGGUAAUCAAAACAAAAAUAUUUUGCCAAAGCCUAUUAAAAUCAGACUACAGAAAUCCAGGCUCACAGAAAUGUCCCAAAGAUUUCUGCCACUUUAUAUAAAUAGUGGACAAGAUAGCUCUUGUUCCUUUUUCUUCAGUCUCAUACUGUUCCAUGGAUGGUGGAGUGUGAGGAUCUCCUGUAGGAGUUCCAAGCAUGCUGCUGUCAGCCUCAUCCUGCUUCCACUAGCUUUCAUAGUCUUCUGAGGGACCUCAGGUCCAAAUAUUGAGGUUGGAAGAGACCACAAAGAUAAUUCAGUCCAACUGUUGUCUACAACUCCCUCCUACAGAUCUACAAACUUGCAUAAAGCCAAAGAGACAGAACCACACAUCUAAUAUUGAUGACACAUGUGGGUCCAAGCUGAUCUAUCAAAUCUGGGGUAUUUCUGACUUUUUGAUGUGUAGGACCUCAAACUUUAAAAAAAAAAAAAAAGGCAGCAGGUGGGGCUCUGAAACAGUAAUUCUCACAGGAGAGAGAAGCUUUGAUUUUUAUUUUUUCUCUCCUAAUGAAAAUGAAAGGACCAUAGCCAGUACCAGUUGGGAAAAAAAACAACAAUAGUUUUGAGUAAAUGUUAUUUGUUCACGACUAUCAAUUCAACAUUUGUUUGGAUAAUAUAGAUCCAGGGUUUGCUCAGCUCUCAACUGCUCUUUGUGGUUCCAGGUCUCCCAUUCCUGUGCACUUCUCACCAACUCUACAUCUCAAGGGGUUACGGUAAAUGAGGAGUCCACACAUGGUUCAGACAAGGAAGGAAUGUACUAUAUAUCAAGACAUCUCUUGGGAGAUAAUGAUAGAAGUUUCUCUUGUAAGAGAAAGGUGCUUAGAGGAAUGACUCCUAAUUUCUCUCAGCUGAUACUAUUGAUCCUGAGCUCUGUAAUUAUGUGGCAUGUUCAGCAGAAUAGCAAGGGAUACUUCUUCAUUUGACACAAGGCUAACUGUGGAAUUUGGCUGAAAGAGUUGAUAUGGACUCAAAAAGCGAUGGGACAAGUUUGUGAGGGUAAAGUUCUUGAAGGCUGUUAAAUAAAGGGCCCUGUUAUGACUUUGGAAUACCCAAAGCUUCGUGCAGGGUAUUUCAGCAUCCUUUGUGGGUACAGGACAGGAGACAAAGUUGUCUCUUGGGUUUGAUUGAAAUGUAUGGGAUAGGAGGUUGGGUGGUGAACAGUGUAGUCAGCUCUGCCAUCAUCAGUGAAGAUGUGCACUGCCAUUCAGAAAAGAGACUUGCUCCCUGAUUUCUCAUGUCAGAAGGCUGAAUUCCCUCCUCUUUGCAACCUGUAGGUCUUUCUCUAAUUACAGAGCAAGAAAUUGGCUCUCUGAAUCCUUUUGCAUACAAAAUCUUUCUUCCUCAUAGCACAACUUGCAUCCAUGAAACAGUACUUGCAGGUUUAAGCUUUUACUUUCUUGUAUCUAUUGGCCCUGUAUUCAUAGUACAGAUGAAACCAAGUUUAGCCUACACUUGUAUAGAGUGUAUACAUAGAGCUUUUUUUGCCAAGGUAACCUUGUUAUUUAAGUGAAUAGAAAUAUGUACUUUUUGUGCAGUCAGAAAAGUACAAAAUUCAGUCACCUUUGUCAUGUUAAUAUAAAUGACUAACUGCUAAAUAACAGACUUGCAUUUGUAAAUGUGAGUAUAUCGU